rnacentral:rRNA from 1 species
GAGUAAGAGCAUAACUGUUCGGACCCGAAAGAUGGUGAACUAUGCGUGGAUAGGGUGAAGCCAGAGGAAACUCUGGUGGAGGCUCGCAGCGGUUCUGACGUGCAAAUCGAUCGUCAAAUCUGCGCAUGGGGGCGAAAGACUAAUCGAACCAUUAACGGAGACCAGCGGUAAAUAUUUAAUUUACUAGGUGGUUAAGAGGCUUCUUGCGAGAGGAAGCCUAGGUCGGACCUACCCGGUAGCUACCCGGUAGUACCUUACCCGGUAUCUACCCUGUAGUAUCGGGUAGCCGACCGACACCGCUAAAUUGCGGGGACAUCCUACAGAAGGCCUCAGGCUACCGCCGCGCGCUGAAAAGCGUCUGCGGCACCAAGAAUAGCGCUCUUGGGUACGGUAAAAACGCCUGGGGUAGCGGACGACCUGCAGCCAACCCCGCCGGCCCUUAGCUAGGGCCUAGGGGAGAGUUCACUGACUAAACAGUGGUGGGUCUUAUGGCACUAAUAGGGGUGCUAUAAGGCUUAAGAUAUAGUCGAUCUGGGCCCUGAAAAGGUGACCCUGAAGUAUUAUUAUACUUAGCGGAGCUAGUAGCUGGUUACCGCCGAAGUUUCCCUCAGGAUAGCAGUGUUGUUUUCAGUUUUAUGAGGUAAAGCGAAUGAUUAGGGACUCGGGGGCGCCUUUUAGCCUUCAUCCAUUCUCAAACUUUAAAUAUGUAAGAAGCCCUUGUUACUUAACUGAACGUGGGCAUUCGAAUGAACCAACACUAGUGGGCCAUUUUUGGUAAGCAGAACUGGCGAUGCGGGAUGAACCGAACGCGAGGUUAAGGUGCCAGAGUAGACGCUCAUCAGACACCACAAAAGGUGUUAGUACAUCUUGACAGCAGGACGGUGGCCAUGGAAGUCGGAAUCCGCUAAGGACUGUGUAACAACUCACCUGCCGAAUGUACUAGCCCUGAAAAUGGAUGGC